UACCAGCACCCCGAGUGGUCGGGACGAUUAUUGGGCCUAAAGCAUCCGUAGCCGGUUCUACAAGUCUUCCGUUAAAUCCACUGCUUAACAGAUGGGCCGCGGAGGAUACUACAGAGCUAGGAGGCAGGAGAGGCAAGCGGUACUCAGUGGGUAGGGGUAAAAUCCGUUGAUCCAUUGAAGACCACCAGUGGCGAAGGCGGCUUGCCAGAAUGCGCUCGACGGUGAGGGAUGAAAGCUGGGGGAGCAAACCGG
rnacentral:rRNA from 1 species